rnacentral:lncRNA from 1 species
GCAGUACACAAAGAAUCCUAAGAAGCAAGAUGAGUUUUAUCCUGAUGAUUUCAAUUCAACACAAUUGAUGAAUCUUGGUCAUGAACUUCGGAUUUUCAUAGACAAUGUCCGAGCGGACCAAAGAUUUGCCAAUUUGGAUGGCAUUGCUGAUCUUGCCAAAGUGUUGGUGGAAACUAAAAAGCAUCUUGAUUUUCCUUUGGUGUAUCAACUUCUCAAGUUGGUGCUAAUUUUGCCAGUUGCCACAGCGUCAGUGGAGAGAUGCUUUUCAGCAAUGAAUAUCGUCAAGAGUGUUUUGCGGAACAGAAUGGGUGAUGAGUUCACGAGUGAUUGCCUGAUUUGCUAUGUGGUGAAAGACAUAUUUUCUACAAUAACGAAUGAUGAUGUGAUUGAUCUAUUUAAGAAGAUGGAAGAUCGAGAAGGGAAGUUAUAAAAUGUGAGUCUCGGAUCACUUUAUUUUUUUCCUUAAUGAUACUUAUUUUCUGCCUUAUUUGUUUCUUACUAUUCUUGUGAAUAUAAUAUGUCCUUUUGUUCAUCCUUUCCAGAAAGUUACAAGUGAAACGUUCGAAAGUCAUCUUUUU